rnacentral:rRNA from 1 species
UGAGUAACGCGUGAGUAACCUGCCUUCAAGAGGGGGAUAACAUUCUGAAAAGAAUGCUAAUACCGCAUGACAUAUCGGAACCACAUGGUUUUGAUAUCAAAGAUUUUAUCGCUUGAAGAUGGACUCGCGUCCGAUUAGUUAGUUGGUGAGGUAACGGCUCACCAAGACCGCGAUCGGUAGCCGGACUGAGAGGUUGAACGGCCACAUUGGAACUGAGACACGGCCCAGACUCCCUACGGGAGGCAGCAUG